UCAUCAAAGGCUGGAGAGCGCUGGGUGCAGGGAAUCUUUUCUGCACUGCAGCCGCCGAAGGGGCAAGUCGCAUGGCCAGCAGGGCGGUGCGAUGAAUCUCUCAGGCAAAAGGACGGCUCGGGAAGG
rnacentral:ncRNA from 2 species